UCCUAUAUAUACUUAAUUACCUUGGUGGUAUAGAUUGGAUUUGAAUUGGAAGAAGUCGGUGAUCGAGCUUAUCAAGUUCCUUUUCUUUAUAUCGAUCGACUUCCACCAAGCGAUCCCUCACUGAAUGCUGGAAUUGUAGCAUACCCCAUAUUGCGCGCGAACGAUUUGUUGACACUAAGCAAGCGGCAACAAAAAGGGGAAUUCUUCUAAAAAGUGAAGGGUGAUUUAACAUAUUUGUUUAUUGUAAGUUGAAUUAAUUUCAAGUAUAUUAAAAUAAAUUUUCACUCGUCUUUUUAAAUUGAAACAUGUAUCCUUUGAUAUAAAUGGGUCCGGUCUAGAUUGAUCCGGAUUCCGGUCUGGACUAAGUUUGUGUCCAUAAGGAAAAUACCUAGAUUCGGACUCAGGCUAGGUCAGAUUCAUGAAAAUAUCCGGAUGUAGUCCUCUUUCAUACUUUAUAUAUUUUCCUCUUAUUUGCAGAAAGAAUAUUAAACCAACAUGAAUUCGAAUUCCAUCGAUGCUGCCAGAGGUUAUCUAUCGGACUCUUCUGCAUACAUGUCGUCGAUAUCAUCGGUACCACCGCAAUNNNNNNNNNNNNNNNNNNNNNNNNNNNNNNNNNNNNNNNNNNNNNNNNNNNNNNNNNNNNNNNNNNNNNNNNNNNNNNNNNNNNNNNNNNNNNNNNNNNNNNNNNNNNNNNNNNNNNNNNNNNNNNNNNNNNNNNNNNNNNNNNNNNNUUUCCGACGUCGGACCCCAGAACAGACAACCAUGAGGGUCGUCGAAACCAGGUUAGAUGAGCAAAUAUUGAGGAAGAUCCCUGUGAAAGUAUUUAGUUUUGAUGCAGACAUUCUGCCGACCAUUGAUACUUGCGCAAUAUGUCUUGGAGAUUUCGAAAAUGGUGAUAUAAUUCGUAUUCUGCCGGAGUGCAACCACGGUUUCCACCGUCAUUGUGUAGAUACCUGGCUCUCCUUCAACUCCUCUUGCCCUAAUUGUCGGCAUUCAUUGGUUGACGCCGAAAGUGCAAUUUCCAUUUCAGUGUCAUAAUCAUUUUUACAAAUAAUAUACAAUCCAAUAAUUCAGCAAAUGAAACUUUAUUUAUUGCAACAAUAAUAUUAAUAAUAUUCAUUUGUCUAUCCAUUUAUUACUUACUGAUCAAUCAAAAUAAUUUUAUUAAGAACACUGUCCAUUAUUUAGGAAAAAAGUUUUAUUAAGAACACUACUGGAGGAUUCAGGCGAACAUCUCGAUGAGUGAAGUGAUGGUUGUCGGAGAUAUAGCUCGUUCUCCUCCAAGGUACCAUUUUUGAACCAUCUCAACCAAAUUAGGGUUUUCGAUCUUGGUAUGUGAUUCUUCUUUCUCUUCGGUUGUGAAUCCGAUCUACGUUUCAAAAAACUCAAAUUCAAAUUAAAACCAUUAAUUAUAUACUUUGAAAUAGAAAAGAGCUUAUCUAAUAUUAGGUAUUCCAGAGUUACAUAAUAUCAAGCUUUUACAUGCGGCCAGACGUUCAUGAGAUGGAUCUAGUAGCACGAAUGCUUAAGGAGCCUAUACGCCGCAUAAAUGUGUUCGUCGGAGUCACAUUCGAGGUUCGCUGAAGGUGGUCGCCGUCUGUCCUAGUCGGUCGCCGGAGGUGGUCGGAGAUGGAGGAAAGGGCCUGAAAAAGAGGUGGGAGGGUAACUGCAAAUUUGAAAGAAAGGAGAAGAAAAUGGGAGAAAAAUGAGAGGUUAUAAUUUCAGUGUCAUAAUCAUUUUUACAAAUAAUAUACAAUCCAAUAAUUCAGCAAAUGAAACUUUAUUUAUUGCAACAAAAUAUUAGAAAAACCACAGAGUGUUCACGCUCUGAUGCCAUGAUGAAGUUUAUAUUCGAUUCAAGCAAACGUACAAGAGAAUCGUGAGAAGUACAGAGUGGCGAUCAGAGAUGAGGGCAAAUCCUAAGUGCAAACCUUAGGGUUUUGGAUGAAUCGACGGGAUGCCAAACGAUUAGAAUAAACAACUUUUUAAGAAAAUAAUAGAGUUUACAAUUUAUACAUAUAGCUAUUGGGUCUGAAGUUAAAUUAAACAAAAGUAAUAUAAAAAUAUAUCUAAAAGUGAUUAAUAAGUGUGAUUAGUGAAAUGUAUUUUAACACAAUAAAUACAUUAAAAUUUAAAAUGCAUAUUUAAAUAAUUAAAUAUUAAACGAAUCGAGCUUAAGGUAUUCGAUUUGGUUUGUUUUUUAACAAACAAAUCAAACACUAUAAUUUUAAACGAUUUCCAUCUCAGUAUCAUAAUCAUUUUUACGUUGUGCAUUGAAGAUUUCGUAAACCCUAUGUUGGUUUCCAGAUGAACUAACGAUAGAAGGAGGUAGGAAAAAAAGGAAUAUAAAACAUAUUGGCCGGUCUUGGCAGAGCCAAAGUUUUAGGAUUUAGUUUUAUUAAUAUAAACAAAGAGUAAAGAUAAACAAAGAACAAAGUUUGAACAAGAUGCUGAGAGCAAAGCUAGAGUUCCUGAAGAACAAAUCAAGAGCAAGCGGAGAGGCUAUCUGAUAAGUCGGUAGAAAAAACCAUUUAUACCUAAGGUUUUAUGCUAAUGUUUGAUGGUUGUCGGAGAGAUAGCUCGUGCACUAUUCUCCAAGGUAUCAUUUUUGAAUCAUCUCAGCCACAUUAGAGUUCUCAAUCUGGAUAUGUGAUUCAUCUUUUCCAAAUAUUAAUUACGUAAAUGGAAAUUACGCACACAGCAAGAUUAGAAUCUUAUUUAAACCAUCGACAACUUUCAUAUAUGUGAUUAAUAUUUAGUUUGCCUAAUUAAAGUAAAUGACUAAUUUCAGACGAAAUAUCGAAAACUAGAUAUUUGAUAUACGUGACCUUGCGAUGUGAUUUUCAAAAGACAAAAAAACUGAUGGAUAAUGUUUCACGUAUGAUAUCUCAUGGAUGAUAUCACAUGGAUGAUAGCUCAAAGGAUACCUGAGGAUGAUAUUGAUUUCACGAGAAUAUUGUUUCCUAUAUAUAUACUUAAUUACCUUGGUGGUAUAGAUUGGAUUUGAAUUGGAAAAAGUCGGCGACCGAGCUUAUCAAGUUCCUUUUCUUCAUAUCGAUCGACUUCCACCAAGCGAUCCCUCAUUGAAUGCUGAAUUGUACCAUACCCCAUGUUGCGCACGAACGGUUUGCCGACACUAAGCAAGCGGCAACAAAAAGGGGAAUUCUUCUAAAAAGUGAAGGGUGAUUUAACAUAUUUGUUUAUUGUAAAUUGAAUUAAUUUCAAGCUUAUUAAAAUAAAUUGUAACUCGUCUUUUUAAAUUGAAACAUGUAUCCUUUGAUAUAAAUGGGUCUGGUCUAGACAAGUUUGUGUCCAUAAGGAAAAUACCUAGAUUCGGACUCAGGCUAGGCCAGAUUCAUGAAAAUAUCCGGUUCUAGUCCUCUUUCAUACUUUAUAUAUUUUCCUCUUAUUUGCAGAAAGAAUAUUAAACCAAUAUGAAUUCGAAUUCCAUCGAUGCUGCCAGAGGUUAUCUAUCGGACUCUUCUGCAUACAUGUCGUCGAUAUCAUCAGUACCACCGCAAUAUAUAGAUCAUUCCAGCUCUUACGGAGAUCUAACAACAAAAAAACUCUUGUUGUCUAUUUUGGAAGUAGUAUCAUUCUUCAUAGUUGUUACAUUUACAUUCCAUUUCAUCGUUUGCCUGGUGACCCGAUAUUGGCAUAGAAUAAUUAAUUUCCGACGUCGGACCCCAGAACAGACAACCAUGAGGGUCGUCGAAACCAGGUUAGAUGAGCAAAUAUUGAGGAAGAUCCCUGUGAAAGUAUUUAGUUUUGAUGCAGACAUUCUGCCGACCAUUGAUACUUGCGCAAUAUGUCUUGGAGAUUUCGAAAAUGGUGAUAUAAUUCGUAUUCUGCCGGAGUGCAACCACGGUUUCCACCGUCAUUGUGUAGAUACCUGGCUCUCCUUCAACUCCUCUUGCCCUAAUUGUCGGCAUUCAUUGGUUGACGCCGAAAGUGCAAUUUCCAUUUCAGUGUCAUAAUCAUUUUUACAAAUAAUAUACAAUCCAAUAAUUCAGCAAAUGAAACUUUAUUUAUUGCAACAAUAAUAUUAAUAAUAUUCAUUUGUCUAUCCAUGUAUUACUUACUGAUCAAUCAAAAUAAUUUUAUUAAGAACACUGUCCAUUAUUUAGGAAAAAAGUUUUAUUAAGAACACUACUGGAGGAUUCAGGCGAACAUCUCGAUGAGUGAAGUGAUGGUUGUCGGAGAUAUAGCUCGUUCUCCUCCAAGGUACCAUUUUUGAACCAUCUCAACCAAAUUAGGGUUUUCGAUCUUGGUAUGUGAUUCUUCUUUCUCUUCGGUUGUGAAUCCGAUCUACGUUUCAAAAAACUCAAAUUCAAAUUAAAACCAUUAAUUAUAUACUUUGAAAUAGAAAAGUGCUUAUCUAAUAUUAGGUAUUCCAGAGUUACAUAAUAUCAAGCUUUUACAUGCGGCCAGACGUUCAUGAGAUGGAUCUAGUAGCACGAAUGCUUAAGGAGCCUAUACGCCGCAUAAAUGUGUUCGUCGGAGUCACAUUCGAAGUUCGCUGAAGGUGGUCGCCGUCUGUCCUAGUCGGUCGCCGGAGGUGGUCGGAGAUGGAGGAAAGGGCCUGAAAAAGAGGUGGGAGGGUAACUGCAAAUUUGAAAGAAAGGAGAAGAAAAUGGGAGAAAAAUGAGAGGUUAUAAUUUUAAAACCCUAUUUCCUCUUUUUUUUUAUUUAAUUUAUUGGGUAAUCGGAUCCGCCUAACCCACUUAGCGCAUGAAGCCUACAUGCGCUAGGCCAUUUGAUCGCCUGAAAAAGUUUGCAUAAUAUUAUAUCAUCUUAGAUUAUGUAAAUGAAAAUUACGUACACAACGA
rnacentral:lncRNA from 1 species